GAUGAACGCUAGCUACAGGCUUAACACAUGCAAGUCGAGGGGCAGCAUGAAAGGAACUUCGGUUCUUUUUGAUGGCGACCGGCGCACGGGUGCGUAACGCGUAUCGAACCUGCCUCAUACUCGGGGAUAGCCUUGCGAAAGUAAGAUUAAUACCCGGCGGUCUCGGAUGGCCGCAUGACUGUCCGAGUGAAGAUUUAUCGGUAUGAGAUGGCGAUGCGUCCCAUUAGGCAGUUGGCGGGGUAACGGCCCACCAAACCGACGAUGGAUAGGGGUUCUGAGAGGAAGGUCCCCCACAUUGGUACUGAGACACGGCCCAG
rnacentral:rRNA from 1 species